rnacentral:rRNA from 1 species
GAUGAACGCUGGCGGCGUGCCUAAUACAUGCAAGUCGAACGAAGGUAGCAAUACCUUAGUGGCGAACGGGUGAGUAACACGUAGGUAACCUGCCUUUCAGUUGGGGAUAACCGAGGGAAACUUUGGCUAAUACCGAAUUCGUGCUUCGAAGGCAUCUUCGGAGCAUAAAAGGGGCCUUUAAAGCCUCGCUGAUUGAUGGACCUGCGGCGCAUUAGUUAGUUGGUGAGAUAACAGCCCACCAGGACGAGGAUGCGUAGCCGACCUGAGAGGGUGAUCGGCCACACUGGAACUGAGACACGGUCCAGACUCCUACGGGAGGCAGCAGUAGGGAGUUUUCGGCAAUGGGGGAAACCCUGACCGAGCAACGCCGCGUGAGUGAUGAAGGUCUUCGGAUUGUAAAGCUCUGUUAUAAGGGAAGAACGGCAGCUAGAGGAAAUGCUAGCUGUUUGACGGUACUUUAUGAGAAAGCCACGGCUAACUACGUG